CAUGUCAUAUUCUUUUCUUUGUUGGUAUUCUCAUAGGGUUGCUACCUUCUGGUCUAACUCAUCUUCUUGUCCUUGGAUUUUCAAAUAUGAAAUCUUUAGAUAAGAAAGGUCUUCAACGCCUCCGAUCUCUUGAAGAAUUGUGAAUCAAAGACUGUCCUAAGCACAAGUACAUGCCAGAAGAGGGGUUGCCUACGUCCCAUUCUAUUAUAGGGAUCGACAUAUGCCCUUUGUUGAUGAAGCAAUGGCGCAAAGUAAGAAAGGAAAAGAACGGCGAAAGAUUCCUGACGUCGGUCACAUUUUGUUGAUUCUAAAGAGAGGAGCAGGUAUAUCAGAAGCUUAUUCUGAGAAACAAGUUCAAUUGAAUCCAAGGUUUAAAAAGUUAUGAUCAUGUAAAAAUCCUUUACAUCCCUGUAGCGUCUGGAUAGUUUGGCAUGAAAUUGUUGUAGCUCAAAUGGAACUUUGUGUUAGUAUUUUUGUUGGCUAAAUCCGGUGACCAAAAUGUACAUCUCUCCGUAUUUGAAGUGCCAAAAGUCAUCUCCAUGCAUGACCGUCCAGACAGGAAGCAAGGCCGUCUGGACGCUAAGAGGUUCUUCUGCAAUCUGUCCGGACCUGCUUUCCAGAGAGGUUCGUCCGCAAUUCCAUCUACAUGCCAUCCGGACGCUCCUAGAAAUCUGUUUUUCCCGAGAGCCUCUUCUGGAGUCUCGUCCGCAAGCUGCCGCACCAGAAAACUAGGGUUUAUUGGGUUUAUCUUAUUUCCGUCUGGACAUGCGUAUCACCCGUCCAGAUGCCCUGCACAGUUUUAAGUUCAAUACACUUAAAUUUUGUGGGUUUAAGGCUAGAGUUUUGAAGCCUAUAUAUAUUCCUCUCUAUAGAACUGCAGGGGUACGAAUUCUGCCCUAGAGUUCGUGAGAGGUUGAGCUAAGAGAGAUUUUAUGUAUGUGAACUAGAGAGCGUUUCUCUUAGAGUGAUUGUUAGAUUGAAAUAGUUUUUUGAUAAACUACAGUUGAGAAGUCUAUCGGCAGGGUUCGAUAAAAGAGAAUCACAUGAAGAAGAUUGUGAGGUAGGAGACAAGUUAGAGGCUUAUCGAUCUUACAGAGUUAAGGAUUUGCAAAGAAUUGUAAGUAUCCCCGUGUCUGUAAUCUCUAAAAUAUUUUCUUAAUGGUGAUUUUCUGGGUUUGGCUGCCUCGGAGAGGUUUUACUUUUAGAAAGGUUUCUAAAAGGUUUCCUCUUCGUCAUCAAAAUAUCUGUGUUUGUUUAA